rnacentral:tRNA from 2 species
GCCCCAGUGGCGCAAUUGGCAGACGCGCCUGUCUUAGAAACAGGAUGUUGUAGGUUCGAGCUCUGCCUGGGGCACCA